GUGGAUUAGAUACCCGGGUAGUCCACGCGGUAAACGAUGAAUACUAGGUGUAGGGGGUAUCAACUCCCCCUGUGCCGGAGCUAACGCAAUAAGUAUUCCGCCUGGGGAGUACGGCCGCAAGGUUGAAACUCAAAGGAAUUGACGGGGGCCCGCACAAGCAGCGGAGCAUGUGGUUUAAUUCGAAGCAACGCGAAGAACCUUACCAAGGCUUGACAUCCACUUAAACGCAUGGAAACAUGCGGUCUCUUCGGAGGAAGUGAGACAGGUGGUGCACGGCCGUCGACAACU
rnacentral:rRNA from 1 species